rnacentral:rRNA from 1 species
AUUGAACGCUGGCGGCAGGCUUAACACAUGCAAGUCGAGCGGUAGCACAAGAGAGCUUGCUCUCUGGGUGACGAGCGGCGGACGGGUGAGUAAUGUCUGGGAAACUGCCUGAUGGAGGGGGAUAACUACUGGAAACGGUAGCUAAUACCGCAUAACGUCGCAAGACCAAAGAGGGGGACCUUCGGGCCUCUUGCCAUCAGAUGUGCCCAGAUGGGAUUAGCUAGUAGGUGGGGUAAUGGCUCACCUAGGCGACGAUCCCUAGCUGGUCUGAGAGGAUGACCAGCCACACUGGAACUGAGACACGGUCCAGACUCCUACGGGAGGCAGCAGUGGAGAAUAUUGCACAAUGGGCGCAAGCCUGAUGCAGCCAUGCCGCGUGUGUGAAGAAGGCCUUCGGGUUGUAAAGCACUUUCAGCGAGGAGGAAGGUGGUGAACUUAAUACGUUCAUCAAUUGACGUUACUCGCAGAAGAAGCACCGGCUAACUCCGUG